AGCAGAGUAGUCUAGUGGAAAGAGCUCGGGGCUGGGAGUCAGAGGACCUGGGUUCUCAUCCCAGCUCUGCUA
rnacentral:tRNA from 1 species